ACGAACGCUGGCGGCGUGCUUAACCCAUGCCAGUCGAACGGAAAGGCCCUGCUUUUGUGGGGUGCUCGAGUGGCGAACGGGUGAGUAACACGUGAGUAACCUGCCCUUGACUUUGGGAUCACUUCAGGAAACUGGGGCUAAUACCGGAUAGGAGCUCCUGCUGCAUGGUGGGGGUUGGAAAGUUUCGGCGGUUGGGGAUGGACUCGCGGCUUAUCAGCUUGUUGGUGGGGUAGUGGCUUACCAAGGCUUUGACGGGUAGCCGGCCUGAGAGGGUGACCGGCCACAUUGGGACUGAGAUACGGCCCAGACUCCUACGGGAGGCAGCAGUGGGGAAUAUUGCACAAUGGGCGGAAGCCUGAUGCAGCAACGCCGCGUGCGGGAUGACGGCCUUCGGGUUGUAAACCGCUUUCGCCUGUGACGAAGCGUGAGUGACGGUAAUGGGUAAAGAAGCACCGGCUAACUACGUG
rnacentral:rRNA from 1 species